GGACGAACGCUGGCGGCGUGCCUAAUACAUGCAAGUCGAACGGUCUUUCUAUGGAAGCUUGCUUCCACUGAGAAGAUAGUGGCGAACGGGUGAGUAACACGUGGGUAACCUGCCCAUAAGAGGGGGGAUAACAUCCGGAAACGGGUGCUAAUACCGCAUAGUUUUCUUGAUCGCAUGAUCGGGAAAGGAAAGACGGCCUUUGUGCUGUCGCUUAUGGAUGGACCCGCGGCGUAUUAGUUAGUUGGUGAGGUAACGGCUCACCAAGACGAUGAUACGUAGCCGACCUGAGAGGGUGAUCGGCCACAUUGGGACUGAGACACGGCCCAAACUCCUACGGGAGGCAGCAGUAGGGAAUCUUCCGCAAUGGACGAAAGUCUGACGGAGCAACGCCGCGUGAGUGAAAGAAGGUUUUCGGAUCGUAAAACUCUGUUGUCAGAGAAGAACAAGUUGGAGAGUAACUGCUCCAGCCUUGACGGUAUCUGACCAGAAAGCCACGGCUAACUACGUGCCAGCCGCCGC
rnacentral:rRNA from 1 species